ensembl:snoRNA small nucleolar RNA SNORA65
CCCGCCACUGUGCUUGUCUGUAAAAUAGACUGUGUACUGCCAAGGGAAGGCUUAUAGUGACCCAGCUCUAGGAAACAGGGCCGACCAACUUAAUGGCUGACUCUGUGCCGAAAGGACUGGAACAAGU